UCCGAGUUGACCCCGGCAGUCUCCCAUGAGUCCCCACCAUUACGUGCUGGCAACAUGGAACGAGGGUUGCGCUCGUUGCGGGACUUAACCCAACAUCUCACGACACGAGCUGACGACAGCCAUGCAGCACCUGUGCAUGCUCCCCUUGCGGGGUCGUCCCACUUUCAUGGUUCUACCACAUGCAUGUCAAGGCCAGGUAAGGUUCUUCGCGUUGCAUCGAAUUGAGCCACAUGCUCCACCGCUUGUGUGAGCCCCCGUCAAUUCCUUUGAGUUUCAGCCUUGCGGCCGUACUUCCCAGGCGGGGCACUUAUCGCGUUAGCUGCGGCACUGACGGGGUCGCUCCCCCCAGCACCUAGUGCCCAUCGUUUACGGCGUGGACUAC
rnacentral:misc_RNA from 1 species